GCCCUUUUAACUCAGCGGUAGAGUAACGCCAUGGUAAGGCGUAAGUCAUCGGUUCAAAUCCGAUACGAUAAAGGGCU
rnacentral:tRNA from 1 species